rnacentral:tRNA from 1 species
GGGUAAUUAGCUCAGUUGGCAGAGCAGCUGACUCUUAAUCAGCGGGUCGAGGGUUCGAGCCCCCCAUUGCCCA